CAGUCGCCGCGGUAAUACGUAGGGUGCAAGCGUUAAUCGGAAUUACUGGGCGUAAAGCGUGCGCAGGCGGUUAUAUAAGUCAGAUGUGAAAUCCCCGGGCUCAACCUGGGAACUGCAUUUGAGACUGUAUGGCUAGAGUGUGUCAGAGGGGGGUAGAAUUCCACGUGUAGCAGUGAAAUGCGUAGAUAUGUGGAGGAAUACCGAUGGCGAAGGCAGCCCCCUGGGAUAACACUGACGCUCAUGCACGAAAGCGUGGGGAGCAAACAGGAUUAGAUACCCCCGUAGUCCCUGUCUCUUAUAC
rnacentral:rRNA from 1 species